CCUCCCCCCCCACUCCAACCCCCAGGGCUGCGGGCGGCUCCCGGGUUUCGCUGGAGCACACGCAUUUGCGCAGAAUGUGGUUCCCAGGCUCUCGGUCAAGAACUGAGAUGGGAAAAGUUGGCUGGCGGCUCCCGCUGCCCGGCCCCCCUCGAGCCCGGCCCGUCCGCGUCCGGAAAGCGCGGCGCUCGCAGAAGGGCGAGGGGGCUGCGCUCUCCGCUUUUCUUCUCACUUUCACCGUGAUCGUACCCUUGACGUUGAGCACCCGUUAAUGCGCAGCGGGACUUACUGUUUUAGAGGAGAAAACGAGGGCGGAAAGGGGGACUGAGAGGGAGAGAGGCGAGGGGGAGGCGAGAGAACAGGGGUGCGAGUUGGCGCGGGCGGCCUGGGGAUGGAGGAGCCUUUGGGCUGAAUUGCCUGUUUGAUCUCGUCCGCGCUGCGCAGGGGUAGGCCGCUGGAAAGACUGGGUGGCCUGGACAACAGGGUCCGAGGGGAAGAAGGUGUAUUUCUGUUGCUGGACAUGAUGGCCACACAAUCUUGCUUCCCACUUUCCUGUCUACAGGCUCAGUAGAUCCAGAUCGUGUGAGUCUCUUUUAUUCCCGUUUUGCACGUGAGGCCACGGAGGCCGGGAUAGACCAGGAUCGCACACGUCUUGGGGGCCUACUCCGGACUCAAACCUACGUCUCUGUGACUCCAAAACUCAUAUUAUACUAUGACCUAGUAUUUGCUGGUGUAAGACGAAUGGUUCCGUUUUAGCGCAGAUGCAAGCGCCACCUUAUUUGGAGGACAGGCAGGUAGAUCUGCAGCUCACAAAGAUGGUAGAAAGUUGAAGAUGAAAGGGAUAUGAAAGGCUGUCUCCUUCUACCUCCUCAUUCCACAGCUGUAAAACCCGAGGCCCCGAGGCGGGCUUGCACAGCUCCCCUGGCUCUCCGUCCACGUCCACGUCUCUGCUGUCCACUGCUCCUAGAGCACCUUUCGACUCUUGAAAACAGGAACUGCCAGUUAAAAAGAAUACUACCUAUUUUAUUGAGCCUGAAGGGUUGAGGACAUCACAGACCAGAGACUUUGACCAGCCAGAAAAAGAGAGAUGACAGCAACUGAGAUGAAAGGGUCCUGAAAUCACAUCACAUCCCUGCGCCCAACUCUGCGGAGCGAGACCCUGUCAAGGCUCCGGGUCUCCUGGCGACCUCUCAAACCUCAUUUCCCACCCGCGCCCCCUGACUGUCUGCCCUCCAGCGUCCCCGACCUCCUUGUCCUCCGCAGACAUCAAGGAUGUGUCAUUGCAGGGCCUUGGCUCCCCUCCCCCCAUUUCAAAUGGCUCAUCCCUCAGUCCAGUCGGGUCUCGGCUCAGAUGUCACCUCCUCAUCGGGGCUCCCUUGCCUCCUGACCCAGAGCAGCAUGCCCCUGUCCGAGUCUCUGAGCUUGCCUUUCCUUCAGUGUUUUUAUUAUUCUAUGACCCGACAUUCUCCAUUCACGUGUAACUGUUUAUUCUCUGUCUUCUGAAAUAGAGGACAAGGCCCGGAGGGAUGGGACUUUGUCUGCUGCCCUCUCACAUCCCGACUGGUACACCUCAGUGAACAAUUUGUAAUGGACACAGUGAAUACAGCAAGGCCCUACUGCAAACCCGAGGACGCAAAGCCUCUGAGAACCUCUCAGACACGGAAGGGGCCACGAGGCUUUUCCCACGUGGCCAGGCUGGAGCAAUGAGUGGGUGCCGGGGAGAGAGCUUCAGGAAUCUCAGGCUCUGGGUAAAGAACUCUUUCCCGGGAUUCCCGCUGUGGCACGACAGGUCUGUGGCAUCUCUGGAGCAGGGUUGAUCCCUGGCCUGACACAGUGGGUUAAGGAUUCCUCAUUGCCGCAGCUGUGGUAUAGGUUGCAACUGGGAUCUGAUCCCUGGCCCAGGAACUCCGUAUGUUGCAGGGCAGCAAAAAUAAAUAAAUAAAUAAAUACACGAAAAGGAACUUUCCCAAGAGUUGGAACGGGUGGGGCUCUGUGCCUGUUUCCUGGGGGCUGAGGAGGCCACCUGGCAGGGAUAUUGUUCGGAAGUUGAAUUUGCCCGUAUCAAAGACUUUUCUUCCAUUUCAAAGUUUUGUGAGAUGGUCACAGGUCAGCCCACCUCUGUCUCGUGAAAACCAUUCUGAGUUUAGUCUUCUGGAAUAGUUUUCAUAUGUGAACACAUCUCCAGUGUCUUGCCUGUGAUCAUGGGGCUCGAUUUGUAGAAACGAUGCCUGUUUUCUGAAACAUGGAAGGGAAUAUAUUUGAUUCAGAGGAGAAAGCUUUGAUUUCAUGGGAAAUGUGUGUCCUUUCCGAGAACCUCCUAAGAAUGAGCCCAGUGUCCUUCGUGUUUCUCCUUCCCCUGUCCGAGGUGCUUACCACCCUUAUAAAUAAUCAGAAAUGUUGCUUCCGGAGGCUCUUUCUAGAUAAGACAUGGUGUCUCUCCCAAGGAGAAUGAUGUUAGCACUCAACGGCUGAGAAAGGAAGUGAAUUAUCCCUUUGAAACUACCAGGGCACUUGAGGUGGUCAGGAAUUAUCCUGGUAUAGACAGACAGACAGACAAAAGGUAAACAAGACUCUGGUAUGUUUUUUGUUUUGGGGUUUUUUUUUU